GGUCAAAGCAGCCCUUCAUUUUGACAUCUUUUUAAAAAAGAUUAUUAUUUAAAGUUGUCUUAUUUUAAUCAUGGACAUAGCCAGAGGUGCAGAACAGGAAAUGUAAAGAGUUGAACAUUUUCCACAUAACAUGUAUGUUUUUCCUUUUACAGAUUAUUUCAGAUGGGCAAAAAUGAAAAUCCACAUCGCAAAGAGUUCUUCAGCUAAGAUACAAGGUCACAAAAUGCUUAGAUGCCAGCGAUGUGGUAGAUGUCAUCUGCCUGGAUUUUAAGAAGGCCUUCGAUAUGGUAUCUCAUCCUAUUUUCAUAGAUAAACUGAGUGGCUGUGAUAUAGAUGAUUAUACUGUCAGGUGCGUGGCAAAUUGGCUAAUGGGAUGCACCCAGAGAGUGGUGGUGGAUGGGUUGGCAUCGACUUGGAAAGAUGUGGGCAGUGGAGUUCCCCAAGAUUCAGUCCUUGGACCGGUGCUGUUCAAAGUCUUCAUCAGUGACUUGAAUGAGGGGGUGGAGAGCACUCUGUCCAAAUUUGUGGAUAACACCAAAUAAUGGGGUAAACACACUAGUGGGCAGGGAAUGAAUCCAGGUGGAUCUGGACAGGUUGGAGAAGUGGGCAGAGCAGAAUAGGAUGCAGUUCAACACAGACAAGUGCAAAGUGCUGCACCUAGGGAGAAGGAAUCAUCAACACACUUACAGGCUUGGGAAUGACCCUCUCAACAGCACUGUAGCAGAAAGGGAUCUCAGAGUCAUAGUUGACUCCAAGAUGAACAUGAGUCGUCAAUGUGAUGAAAUGAUCAGCAAAGCUAUCUGCUCUUUAUCAUGCAUUAGCAGGUGCAUCACAAACAGAUCCAGGGAGGUGAUACUUCCCCUCUAUGUGGCACUGGUGAGGCUGCAGUUGGAGUACUGUGUCCAGUUUUGAGAGCCAUACUUCAAGAGGGAUGUGGAUAACCUUGAAAGGGUCUAGAGGAGGGCCACUCAAAUGGUUAGGGGCCUGCAGAUAAGGCCCUAUGAAGAGAGAUUUUGGGACCUGAAUCUCUUCAGCCUCCGCAAGAGAAGGGUGAGAGGUGAUCUUGUGGCUGCCUAUAAAUUCAUUGGGGUGGGGGACAGCAAGGGAUAGGAAAUGCUCUGUUUACCAGGGCACCCCUUGGAGUAACUAGAAAUUACAGCCACAAACUGACAGAGAGCAGAUUCAGGUUAGACAUCAGGAAGAACUUCACAGUAAGGGUUGUCAGAAUCUGGAAUGGGCUUCCAAGGGAGGUGGUGCUCUCCCCUACCUUGGGAGUCUUUAAGAGGAGACUGGACAGGCACCUGGCUGGGGUUAUCUUACCCCAGCGCUCUUUCCUGCCCAGGGUAGGGGGUUGGCUCUUAGCUUGCUGUUGCAUGUGGAGCCCAAGAUCAUGAUGAUGACAGCAGUUGCAUGACUGAAAUCUGGCAAAUUAUAUCCCCAGUACCCAAAAUUGUGUGUCAUGUAUGCCCAAUUGUGGGAUCUGGAAUCGAAUUGCACCAUUAAAUUAACUUCUGCCACUGCCCAAAAUAAAUUUUCUUCAGUUUGAUUCACAGUUAAAAAGAAAAGAAGUGUUAUAACAUCCUGGUUUAAGACAUACGAGGGCGAAUGUUGGCAGGUGACUAAUUAACUGCUCAAUAAACAUCUCAGCAUCUACGUGUGUUCCUAUUAGGACACACAAAACUAAUAAACUCUGCAGCAGGGUAGGACUUGUAAAUACAAGUACUAUCCUGCUGGAGAGUUUUUUUCAUGUGCAGCAGCGCACAUGUAGAUGCUGAGCCAGCUGACUGGGAAACGAGGGAGCUUCAGUGUCUGGGCUGCCUGCCAGCUAGCCCCACAGUGAAGCGCGCUUAUGCCCUAGCCAGCCCCUCUGCAGCACAAUGACCCCAGCUGAAGCAGCCAUGGGCUGGCAGGCUGACCUCCAGGGUCCUCUGCCAGCUGAAGUUACUGCAACCCCACUCAAUGUGCUGAGGUCAGGGCACAUGUGUAAACCACACGCCUGGGAAUUUCUUAAGUGCAAUAAACUGCAGAGCAAUAAGUUUAACUGGAAGUUUAAUUUCUUGCUUAUUUAUUAAUAAGCAAUAAAUAAGCUCCACAGUUUAUUGCUGCUCCCUAAUGUAAUGUGUAGAUGUGCCCUGUGGGUGGGAAAUUAUUCCUAAGAGUUAAUAAACCUUCCUACAUAGGUAAAAAUUGUGCCCACUGUAGUGAACACCAGGUUGAAUAAGCACAGGGAAACAAGAAGAGAAAAACUAACCAUAACCUUUAUUUGUGGAGCUGUAGACAAGCCUCUGCAGUCCCUUAGUUUCCCUGACUAACUAGCUAAUUUCUCCUUAGUUAGGGGAAAUGUUUAAAUUACAACUUCUGUCACUACAUCCAUGGCAUGCUUCUGUCAGCAUCUGAACCACUUGAGAUGUCACUCACUACAGUGCACCCAAGCUCCCCAAGCCUAAAAGAACAUGUCCUGUGUAAUGAUAUAGAAAUCUACUUGAGAGAGGCUCCUGCUUGAAAACAGAAGAAUGCAGGCUUCAGUCUAGACAUCCAUCAAGAGGCUAUUAAAUGUCAAUGAAUAAUAUGAAACAUUGCUUUGAAGAGACCUUGCCUGGCUGUCUGCUCACCUUGAUACCAUUUCUCCCUUGUUUCUAUGAAAAGAAAAUACAGGGAAGAUAGGUCCUGGCUUAAGGUAUUAUAAAUGAAGGUUCAGCUCUGCAAUGAAGAUCCCUGGGAACACAUCCAGCUCUACUGAAGGCAGUGAUGCACAGCUGAAGUGAAGAGGAUUUUUCAGAGAGGCUUUUGCUAACUGGUUUCUCAGUAUCUGAUACAUAGACUAAACUACACCAAGCCAGCUCUGCAAGUAGCUACCUUCAUCAUUCCUUACUGCCAACCUGCGUUCCCUUCAACUGUUAUCCAUCAUUACCAGUGGGAGGAUGAAACAGAUGGAUUUCUUUCAUUUUGAAACACUGAUCUGAUAACCGAUUGCAUAAAAACAACUGGUAUUUUCUUAUCCCAACUUGUCCAACUCUCACGUACAUUCCCCAUUUCAAGGACAGUUGUAUUGUUAAUGUCCAUACAAAUAUGUGUGAUCACAAAGGUAAUAGAUUGUGCAGUGAUCCAUCAUCAUAGAAUCAUAGAACAAAAGGCUGGAAGGGACCUUAGGUGAUCAUCCAAUCCACCCCCUUGAUCAAGGCAGGAUCAUUGCUGUCUAAGCCAACUCAUCCAAGUGUUUGUCUAACCUGCUCUUAAGUGCUUCUAAAGAUGGAAAUUCCACAGCCUCACUAAGUAAUUUCUUCCAGUACUUACCCACCUUCAUAGUUAAGAAGUUGUUCCUAAUAUCCAACCUAAAUUUCCCUUGUUGCAAUUUAAAACCUUUACUCUUUGUCCUGUCUUCUGUGGCUACAAAGAUGAUUUAAUAUCUUUAAAUUAUGAACGGUGUCAGUAAAAGUUCAUGGUGGUAUUUUUUGACCUUAUGAUCAGUUACUUUGUCUGACACUAUUUAAUAUUAAGCAAUGGCUACAUGGCUAGCAGACUACGUCAGCUGGGAGCUGAAGUCUGCUAGCCAACUGGCUUCUCUGGCAGAAGGUAGGCUCCUCCCCCCACCCCCCACCCCCAUUACAGGUACCCUAAAUGGAACCCAUCAUGGGUAGGAAAUGCUACGUUGCCAACACUGCUGCUACUAUUUCUGCCUGCACCUCUUUAUCCUUGGGGUAUUAACUUAGGUGCUGACUUUAACUUCGCUGUGAAUGCAGUCUUCAUGUCCCUAGCAAAGGGGGUACUAUAUAUUCUGAGAGGUGCCUGCUGGUAGUGUCCCUCAGGAAGCAGAUGAGUGAACUGCAAGUGGCUCAGCUGAGAAGCAUGAGAGAAUAUAAGGACUUUGUAAUCAGGAUGUGUAUAGGAUGCAUAUGCAGCCUAGAGGAAGCUAAUUGGCCUGAAAGAACUGCAGCAUCACUGUGGGAGGAAGAAUCAUCGGCUGUUCUGCAGGGAAUAAACUAGCUGCUGGCCACCUCUCACCAUUGGCAGUGCUCCACUCCCCAUCAAAGUCAUCUGCCCACUGAACACAAGAGUCCAUACAUAAGUCUGGGACCUAGAGAAAAGAAACAGAUCCCAGGGAUUGGAGAGCAGGAGCUUAUAGACACCACCUACAAGAGAAGGAGACAGAGGCUGGGGGUGACUGGAACUACUAUCUGAAGGUGGAUGGAGACACUCAUCUACCUACUUGGCCCAUCAUCACGCCAGGACAUGGGUAGCCACUCAGGGAUUGAGGUGCCAACCAGAAUCAGGAGGGGCAAGAAGAAUCCAGGGGCAAGUCAAGUCAGGAAGCCAGGAGGACAGUCUGAAAGCAAGGGCCAGGAGUAAGCCAAGCUGGGAAGCCAGGAGGUCAAGCAGGGCACAGAGUCAAAGAACAAGCAAGGUCGAGAAGCAAGAAGAUCAAGCAAAGAGCAGAAUCAGGGAGGAAAUUGGAGGGAAUGGAAAAACAGACUUAGGUCAAAUAAAACACUACUACCCAGACACUUACUAUUCCUAUGCAGGGGUUUAUACAAGAGAAGUAGGGGGUCAACUGACCCUAACCAGCCACCCUGGUGACAGGGAAUGGAUGGAGGGUUAAGUCCUGUUAGAUGCUUCAGGUCUGCCUGGCCCUUUAUGGGUGAUUGACUGUGGGAUGGCAGGACCAGAUGGAUGUACACGGUGGCCAAGCCAAAGCCCCAAGUGCAAGGCUGCAGCCUUUUAUUGUCAUGGGAAAUCUGCUGCCUGUCUAGAGCCAAAAUCUGAGACAUGAAAAAUUGCUGAGAAUCAGCUAGCCCUCUGAUUAUUACCAUAUUUACUUAUACACCACAAACACAUUUUUCCCAAAAAUCAGACCCUCAAAACUGGGGCAUAUGUCUUAAGUGGAGAAGCUGAUUUUCUGUCCAAAAGAGACGCUCCAUAAUUAAUGAACCAAUGGUAUUAUUAUUCAGGCAGCUGAAAGAGUCAAUUGACUUAUCGGCUUCUUGUUCUUCACUCCCCGGGUGUUAGAAAUCAUCUCUCUUCUUAAUCAUCUUGAUGUUCUACUAAUCAAGCUAACCUUUCUUGGGGAAAAUUUGCUGUCUACUAGCUGCUCCUGGUCUCUCUUCUCCCAUUUCACAGCCCUGGAAACCCUUUAGCUCUUUUCAAAAUCAUAAAACUGCCCAUGGAGACCAGUCUUCAGCAGCAACUAGAGUUCCAGCUUUUAGUUAAACAGGAAGAAGGAGAAGUCCUACUAUGACACCAAGGCUAUGAUGUAACUGGUGUUACAGAAUCUUGAUGCUUGUUAAGGAGAAAAAAAAAUCACAAGAGUGGAAGGGUGUGUGUGUGGGGGGGGGAAAUCAGGAAGGAGGUAUUGCCUUGUAUAUCAGGACUGUAUACAUUUGCUGUGAAGUUCAGAAAAAGG